rnacentral:rRNA from 1 species
GUGCCAGCAGCCGCGGUAAUACGUAGGUGGCAAGCGUUGUCCGGAAUUAUUGGGCGUAAAGCGCGCGCAGGCGGUCCCUUAAGUCUGAUGUGAAAGUCCACGGCUCAACCGUGGAGGGUCAUUGGAAACUGGGGGACUUGAGUGCAGAAGAGGAGAGUGGAAUUCCACGUGUAGCGGUGAAAUGCGUAGAGAUGUGGAGGAACACCAGUGGCGAAGGCGGCUCUCUGGUCUGUAACUGACGCUGAGGCGCGAAAGCGUGGGGAGCAAACAGGAUUAGAUACCCUGGUAGUCC